CCCGGUCGUAGAGGCGCAGGAGCGGCGCCCCCGGUCGUAGAGGCGCAGGAGCGGCGCCCCCGGUCGUAGAGGCGAAGUACCGGAGCCCCCAGUAGCAGUCCUAGAGGUUCAAGACCGGUGCCCCCAGUAGCAGUCCUAGAGGUUCAAGACCAUUGCCCCCAGUAGCAGUCCUAGAGGUGCAGGACCGAUGCCCCCGGUCGUAGAGGGAUGCAGGACCGGUGCCCCCAGUAACAGUCCUAGAGGUUCAGGACCGGUGCCCCCAGUAACAGUCCUAGAGGUAUCUUCUGGGGGUGCUGUGCCCGUCCUGCAGGGUCAGUGUAUUUUUCUUUUG